GUUCUCGCUUCAGCAGCACAUAUACUAAAAUUGGAACGAUACAGAGAAGAUUAACAUGGCCCCUGCGCAAGGAUCACAGGCAAACUCAUGAAGCGUUCCAUAUUUUU
rnacentral:snRNA from 1 species